UCUCUAGGCCUCUCAUCACCAAUAACCGGUAAAACACAUUAAUUUUUACCUUGUUAGCUUUGUUUCAUUUCAUCCCAAUUAAAUGGGUAUCAGAUAUCUAUUAGAAGAAACUCUUCAACUCUCAUUUCCAGGAAUAGAAACCUCAAAUAAUUCUUAUCUCUGUGUUUGCAGAAUGCUCAACCAUUCCACAAUACAGAAAUAUGCAAUAUAUAAACACAAU
rnacentral:misc_RNA from 1 species